UAGCCGUUGAACUUGGGAAAAAAUAGUUCUUUGGAGGAAAAGAAACGAAGCGAUUCCAUCACUUUUUUCAAUCUGUCUAUCUUGUUAAGUAAUUUUUUUCACCUUAGGAAUCAUUUUUCUCUUCGGAUUUUCUCGGAAAAAAGAAAAAUGAAGGGAAUGAAAGGCAAGUUGCUGAAGAAAAUCAAAUCGAUCCGACCGGUUGGGUAUCUGAAGCUGCAAGAUCGAGUUCUUCAAGUGAAUGCUUCAUAUGGGUAUGUAGAUUCUUCUUCUCAAAAGAAUUCAGUAUUUCAAGAUGAGAAUCGAUUAGUUUGCGAAGAAACAGAGCAGAAGAAGAUGAAACAGAUGUUUCGGAGCUUAUGAGAGAUCUUGAAGAUGAAGAAACGGAGUUCGACGAAGAUAUAGACGACAAGGAAAACAUUGGACCUCCAAUGGCCGUAAAAGACCGAGUUGGUUUCAAGAACGAUUUUGAGAUUCGGGAGAAAACAGAGCAAGAAUUCAGACAGGGCAGAGCUUCGGAAGCUUCAGAGUUAGCGGAACCAGACCCGGAAAUUCGUCUACAAACCCCGUUAUCCGAGAUCGAUAUUUCAUCGUUCCGCCGACCGGACUUGAAUUCCCGAACCCUCUUCGAUCCGAACCUUCUCGCCGCCUUUCAACAAGCCGUGAUUGAAUAUAUCAGAACGAGUGAAGCGGAGAGAAAAGACAGAACAGAGAGAGAGAAACUCACUGAGAAGGAAGAAGAAGAAGAAGGAGAAGGAGAAGAACCGCCGCCGGCGAAAUCUCGUCGCAUAGAAAGCGAUACGGACGAGUUGGAUAGCGACCCUUUAUUAGAAUUCGCCGAGAAGUGCCCGCCCGCAGGUUCAGAGGCAGUAAUUCUCUACACAACGACCCUGCGAGGGAUUCGAAAGACCUUCGAAAACUGCAACAGCAUUCGGUUCCUACUCGAGAGCUUCCGAUUGGUGUUUUUCGAGAGGGACAUUUCCAUGCACAGUGAAUUCAGAGAAGAGCUAUGGAGGGUUUUGGAUGGUAAAGCACUUCCUCCAAGGCUUUUCAUAAAAGGAAGGUAUAUUGGUGGAGCAGAGGAGGUUUUGAGCCUCCAUGAACAAGGAAAGCUUAAGAGACUGUUUGAAGGAGUGGCUUUUGAUAGUAGCAAUGGAGCUUGUGAAGGUUGUGGAGGGAUUAGAUUUGUGGUUUGCUUCAAUUGCAAUGGAAGUCACAAGCUCAUUGGGGAAGAUGGGCAAUCUGAUACAUGCCCAAAUUGUAAUGAGAAUGGCCUGAUUUUAUGCCCUAUUUGUUGCUGAUGAAGUUUGUGUUUCUUCAAUUUUAUUUUUUUGGUUUCUUGAUUUUGUGAUUAUAUAAUUCUUUAAAAAUCUUUCAUUUUGAUUUGCUUCGAAACAAGACAGAUACAUUGGGAGUUUAUAUAUAUAUACUUUUGGGUAUAUAUGAUGGUGUUGGUUUGUGCAUUGGAAUAAGCUUUUUCCUCCCUUUUCACAAUGUAAAAAUUUCCACCUGAAUAAAUUGAACACUCUUUAAAAUUAUCUUUUACUA